rnacentral:rRNA from 1 species
GACAGAGGUGCCAAGCGUUAUGCGGAAUCACUGGGCUUAAAGCGUGUGUAGGCGGCCCGUUAAGUGUCUUGUGAAAUCCCCCGGCUCAACCGGGGAACUGCUGGGCAUACUGGCGGGCUUGGGUCGCUCAGGGGCAGACGGAACAGGCGGUGGAGCGGUGAAAUGCGUAGAUAUCGCCUGGAACGCCGAAGGUGAAAACAGUCUGCUGGGGGCGCACCGACGCUGAGACACGAAAGCCAGGGGAGCGAACGGG